CUCCGCCUAGGAGAGUGAGGAAAGUUGCAGGAAAGAAAAUGCGAGGAAACAAUUCCAAUAUUUGAUGUUGACAGACAACAAUUGCUAUUGCUCAUCUGGAUGAGAUAAUUUAGGGUUUUGGAGUGCCUGGAAGAUGGUAUGUAAGAUGACCUGUUUUUACCUGUUCUUGACUGAAGAUGUGAUGAGUAUCAUGGAGGCAAUCCUGUGGUAGAAUCAGUUUUAAACAUGCUUGAAUGUGAAUAUUGACACAACAGUUCAGAUUCAACCCCAUCCAGUGUCUGAACUACUUGUUGCAAAACAUGGAAAAGUUCACGGGUAUGUUUUCUUUUUGCAACAACCUCAUCCCGUUCCUGCAAUAGCUCUUCAAAAAGGCUUUCCCUGUAAAGUUUUUGUAUGAAGGUAUUAUGAAGUUCCCUCUUUGCAUGAUUGACCAAAAAGUGCAUUAUAGCUUUAGGAACUAAGUCUUGAAUGGUAUCCUUGACUACAUCAAAGUAAGACCUCAAAAGCAAUUUGGUUACAAUUAUUUCCACCGCUUCAUCAUGCUCUGUCACUUCUAGCGGCCUCAAGAUGGAUGGAGGCUCUCUCAAUUGGAUUGUUGAUGAUGAAUGCUUUGUACUAUUUAAAGUUCCACCAAGAGAUUUGCUAGAUGAAUUUGUUAAUGAUCCACUGGAUGAAUUCUCAUUGGAUGAUGCCUUGCUACCGAACACUGAAGGAAUGCCCCAACCCCUGGAUGAAUUACCACCUGGAUAAAUAACUGACGAAGUUAGCUCAUGCAAAUGGA
rnacentral:misc_RNA from 1 species